UUUGCAGAAAACAGUUUAUUAAGUACAUGAGACUUGGUUGCUACACCUAAUUACAGACAAAACACUGUGAAUAAAGCAUGCAUUUAUCACAGACAUCGAUGACUAUCUAUCUAAUCUCGAUUAUUGUAAAAUGGCCUUUAAUUCUGUAAGUUUAAGGCUGUAUGAAUCCAACCUUAUAAAAUGAAAAUAAAAGGUCACACUACAAUAGUAGCAAACAUUGUACGGACAGUGAAAUCAAUCUCUAACGCAGCAGAACCAGACUUUUCGGAGGUUAUCACAUGGGAAUAAAAAUGGAGCCGAAGUGACAUAAAGAUCAGAAUAUCUGAAAUCUGCAGAUCAGUAAAAGUGAGUGUCAUACUCCAAUUAGCACAUAACUGAAUAAUUCUUUUCAAAAGCCUAAUUAUCUGACGACUGAGAAAGGGAUGAAACUCAGACACCUUUAAAAAAAACACAAAAACCCACCCAAAAAAGACCUCUGGUUGUAUUGUCUUCUUAUUGAGGGCACUUUUGUACUCAAACACUAAAAGAGCAUUUUUUAAUGAGGCAUCUGACUGAAGUGUGGCAGACAGCACUACAACAUGCCUUCCUUUAUCCUCAUUAAAGAGUGGUGUGUCUUGCAGUAGGGGAAAAAAACCUCAACAACCCAACAUAAAAAACCCACAGGUCUCAACUGGUACAAGUGACAGACAAUUAUUGACUUCUUCACCUGUGAAGAACUUCACCCUGUAUGAAGUUUGUUUCUUAAAAAUACACCUCAGAAAUAGCAACAUGGCGUCCACAUAGGUCAAAACCGAUCCAGUUGAUGAGUAAAAAGACUACCAGCUCUGGAAACCCAGUUGGGGAUCUGGGGCUUAAAGAAGGUUGUGAAAUCUUUCCUCAUUUACAGCAGCAAAGCCUUUUUGCUUGUUUUUCUCAGGUCUCUGUGCAACUCCAGAAAGAAAUUAAUUCGAGAACAAUGGGGUCGAAUGAGGUCUGAACAUGGACUAUAGCUGACAAUUUUGCUUACGUUUUCAGAAAAAGACCCAGUGAUCUCUCCCUUCCCCUCAGAUAUUCCAAAUUUGCAGAGCUUAAUGCAUUAAAAAGCAUCAGACUAUUACUUCUCCCUAAUGCAGGGUCAAGAGAUCUGUGUAAGGAGGUGUCCUGCAUGCAGAAAACUGCAUUUUGAGUGGAAGAUCUGUGGCGCUGCUUAUGCCAAGAUCUCUGCCUUAAACAGCUGAUUACAGCUGGGGCUUGCAAAGGGGACUGAAAAAACCUAAGUCCCCAAAUUCCACUGGCGUUUGGAUGGAUUAUUCUCUCCUGUCUCCUUUCAGCAGCACAGCCUAAGAUACAGUAUUUUUAAAACAAAACAAAAAUAAAGCUUGUCCUGCAAUAUAAUGCACCUCACACAAAACACAAUGACAAGGGCAAUUACAAGACUGACAACAAGUACACCAAAGGCAUCACAGUGAUUGAAAGGUGGUAUCUAAAUUGGCCAGUUUGCAGCUUGAAAUCAGUGAACCAUAGUUAAAAGCAAACAAAUGCCACUAAAGCCACAGGCAGCAAGCUAAAUCCUAAUGCUAAGUCUGUACCUAUAAAACCAUAACUGCAUUUCCAGAGUGCGAAGUGCUAAAUAAAGGAUGCUGACCCCGUUCCUGACUCAAAUCUAAGCUGAAGAUAAUGCAAAUAUAUCUAGAUUCACAACGGAAGAGAAGAAGAUGGGAAAAAAACAGCUGCUGUGCUGCAAGAAUAUGAUGGUUUUUUCUUUUUUUUAAGUUGGACCAACACAUAAAAUCAGCUAUGAAGACCAAUUGGCAUGACAAUGAGUGGAAUUGGUGGGACCAUGGAGACGCAAAUCUAGCUAUAAAUGGAAGAAAUGCAUGAAAUAAGACCAGGUAUCAAUGCUUAUUUACAUAUUUAACAUCUUUAAUGUUAGACAAGCAAAACAAUGGACAAACACAUUGCAACUGGUCUCAGCUGGUAUCUGCUCUGGCAGAAGGAACCUGAAGAAGCUAUAAAUUUUUAAUGGACAGUAAAAGGAGCUAGUAUUUCUGAAGGGAACCCCAUUCCCUCCAAGAGAUGGGAACAGACAGCACUUUAGACCAGUACCUGUAAGGAUGAAUUUAAUGCGCUCUUAUUUUCCCAAUCACAGAGUUUUUCUGGUGACUUAGUAUUCUGAUUUGAAAAGUCUUUUCAAGAUAUGUAACAGGCUUUCAUCGCUCAGUAAAGAUGUAAGAGCGAUGGUUAGCCUUUUCUCUUUUCCACACAAAAUAUUAAAGACCAGCCUAGAUUUAUUGGACCAUGCCUGGUGGCUGGGAAAUGCACUACACAGAUGAACAUCUCGCAUUUCCCUCCUGCCUGUUUCUGUUGUAUGAUUACAGUGUGUACAAUUUCAGCCUGUCAAAAUCUCAUCAAAAUCACAAUGAGUGUGUAUGGUGUGCGUGUUUGCUAUACUGCCAGAUUCUAAGCAGAGGGUGCAAGAGGAACUGAAAAUGCAAUGUCAGAAUUUUGAUAAACAAGGCUUGUCUGCCAUGAAAGCAGUUGGAAAGAACGAGACCAAAAAUCUUGGGCUUGAAUUUCAUCCAAGUCUCAUUUGGCAGCAAUGUGUGGCUUCAGUGGAGGCAGAACAGGGACUGGAAUCCACCACUUGACCAGGCUGAUGCUUGUUUACAAGAGCAAGCUCACAAGUGUUAUGAGAGCUAACAGCUUCUGAUGGUAAUCAGAGGGUUGCUUUCAUUACAUGCCAUUUUAGCAUGCUCUGCAAUGACUUGAGCAGCCCUGGCUAAUCACUGGAUCCGUUACCAACAAGAACAUUUGGGUACUGCGCAUUCCCUCAUACCCCUCACAUUCACAGUUGGCAGACUGCUGCUGCAGGAGGCAUAGCUGGGGAAAAUGGCUUCUUUUCAGCACUAUUAAAGGGUUUUUUCCCCAAAUGACAAUUAAUGAGAAGAUACUUCUUUAAAGAAAGAUGGAGAGUUCAAGUUGGUGGUUUUUUUUUUCCUUUUUCCUUUCUGUUUCUUUUUUAUUUAAGCUUCAAGAUGGUAAGUAAUCAUCUGUGCAGAACAAGAUAUUAGAAGUUUGGCACCUCCUGUCUACCACAACAUAUUGAUUCCUUCUACAGAAGGCACUAAAUACUGGCUUAAAACAGGAAAUGAACAGCAGAAUGCAGAGUAUUACCAUGACACACAAAAAACCCCGCUAACUGGCACAGUUUCUUAGUAGUGUUUUCAUUUACCUACAAUGGUGGUGAUUAUAGCAGCAAUGGUUAGCAUUUUUACAAGUACCACAGAACAUACAAGUGUCAGAACAUCUCGAAAACAUGCAAAAUUUCAACAGCAACAUCACUGAAUCACACAAUGCAUAGAAUUAUUAUUAUUAAUAUUAUUACUAUUAUUUUAUUUGGCAAGACAGUGAAUCUUUUUAUUAUAAAACAAACCAAAAGCAUUAACAAAACCUACUUUUUUACAAACUGCUCUUAAAAAAGUUGAGUUGCCAUUAAAGUCAGUGACUGGAAGUUAGCCUUAGCAAGAGGUUUAACUUUGGAAUGAAUUGGUCACUUAAGAGAAUUCACAUUGUUAGAUGGAAAUUUGGUUCCGUUUAAGCAAAAUAUGUUUUUCAACCACUUUUUUUGAAGAAACACUGCUAAUCAGUUUACAAAAUAGGAGAAAACACAGUCACAUUAAAAGAUUAGAAAGAGUAAACACUGCAUGCAAGGAAAGAUAAAAGUCUUACUUUAGCUGUCUCUCCGUAGCGCUGCUUACUAUGAGACCAAGGGUUGUCAUAGCAAAAAUGCUUUUCAAAGGCAGAGUUAAAGCCAGCAGAUAAUUAAAACAAAUGGAAAAGAUUUUCUAAUUCCAGUGUAAAACAAAGUAGGAUAUUAAAGGAUAAGGAUUAUGCUUGCCUUCUUUAGAAAAAAAGACAGAAACUUCCAUUAUGAUUGCCAGGCUUUCCCACUGCCUUUUCACUACCUUCAUAACAUUUAGAUAUUCUGCCCCUUCUUUUACUUCCAGUCUUGAAUAUUUGGUCUUCCCUAACAGGUCUCAAUAUGACCCUGAGGUAGAUGGGUCACACGGACAAAAACAAGCACUAACAAUGCAACCAUGUCCAAGCGAUGUCCUUCCCUGCGCAAUUCAGACCCAUUUGUUCUGGAGGGGAUAGUCAUGUGCUUACAGCUUAGCCUGUUCACAGCCCGAGCUAGGUGGAGGCAGGCAGCACAGGCAUGCAUUUCCCUCAGUGCUCUGCAGAACUGGCACCAAAUCCUCUCCAGUGGCAGCACCACUCAGCUAGCAGGCAAAGCCAUAAACAGGAGCAAAAUCAGGUUCUCACCACUUCUUCCCCUGACAUCUUUCUGACUCCAUUAAGAGGUUUCAUGUCACAUUUCGUCUGCACAGCAUUGAAUGCUCUGGGUAUUUCUGCACCUGCAUUUCACAUCCAUACACCCAGCCUUGUGCAGAAGAACCCAGUCUGGAAAAACACUUAUAGACAAAGCUCUCACGGAAGGCAAAGCUUGCAAGAUCUCAACUACAAGCACCAUGCAGAAAACAAAGAAGUUCUCCACAGAGUGAUUUACACUGCAGUCAUCAUUCAUUGCACCUUCAGCCUCAGAGCUACUAGAAGAUUUGUCUUCAUAGAAGCAUAGAAUGGUUUGGGCUGGAGGGGAUCUUAAGGAUCAUCUGUUUCCAAACCCCCUGCUAUGGGUGUUUGUCUUCCUUCACAGAAGUUACCAAGAUCAGUUUGAAGCCAGUUACUAUUGCCUCGCUUCAGCUAUAUGCAUUCUAAUGCGAAGUAUAGAUACUGCUGAAGAUACAUAGGCUGAAAUGUGUCUCCUGCUUUAGCUUGUUUUCAGGCUGGAAAUGUGACAUAGGCUAAGAGUAUUAAUGCGUGAUAGUAAAAGAAAAGGAGGAAUUCUGGCAGAGACAGUGUAGGGUAAACCAGACUUAAGGCUACACAUGAUUCAGGCUAGUUGAGACAUGCUAUAAU
rnacentral:lncRNA from 1 species